AUGUAAAUAAAUCAGUUACUUAAACACGCUUUUUGUUUAGAAAUUCGGCUUUAAGAAACAAUUCAACCUUUAUAUAUUGCAUAAUAAAUGUAUGAAUGAAAAAAAAAAAACGGUCAAGUUCAUGCCUUUGAGUAUUAUUGUUAUGACUCAAGAUAGUGGGCGGCAGGUUUCUAUUUUUUCCGAUAUUGCAAGCAAAAGGUUUUGCCUUAGUGUGGGCUCGUACAUGUAUCUUUAGGCUGUAUGAAGUUAAGAAGGCCUUGCCGCAUGACUGCAUUGGACAUAUAAACCGAUAUUCCCCUGAAAAUAAGAACAAAACUUUACUAUAAAUCAAUAUUCAUGUAAAGAGCUAUAAGAUUAUUGAGAAUAAUUACUGAGAAAAAUUGUAACGCUCAACAUAACACGUUUUAAACAGGAGAAAGAAAAUGUGUGCACCUCUCUCUUGGACAGUUCGCCUCACCAGAUCACACUUUUCGUAACGCUCUCGUCACGCAUUCACCAGCUUACUCCCCAGGUCAAGCGUGCAUAAAGAAGUUUUACAUCAAAAAUGCAAUUUAGACUACUGUAUUUAAUGUAUAACAAGUUCUUAUUUCUAUAAAAACAAGUUGUGUGUUUAAUUCAAAUAUAAUAUAUGUUUGGUUGCAUACAUCACCGUAUGUAAAAAUAUUUGGAUGUGUAAUAAAGACUUAAAAAAAUUAACUAAUAGACUUGUUUAUGGUUGUUGCUGAUGUUUUAAAUAGUGAAAGCCUAUUUUAUUUGUAGGAAGAUCAUCUAUUAGUAUACUGCAACAGUGAAUAACAUGCCCCUAGCUUGGUAAAACUUAUUCCUAUAACGGAUGAUACACGAUGUGUUAGGACAUGUACUAUUUCAUAGGUCAUGUAAUAUGGUUAUACCUUUAUGUGUUUUCAAGUGGGUGCGCAAAUUGCCCACUGUACUGUACGUCCUCUCGCAACCAUCGUAGUCACAUUUAUACCUUGAUGUGUUAUCUUCAACUCGGCGUCUGGUUUUGUCCAUAAUUGACUUUGGUAAUUCAAUAUUUGCCUUUGAUAAAUCUUUAAAACUUUCAUUGUUACUGCUAGAAAAUAAUAUAACAAUCUUCAAGUCAAUAUACUAAGAAGUUAACAAGUAACUAUUGGUAGUUAAAAUAUAAUUAUGUGUCUGAUUUACUCACAAAUGUCACAGAAAUCGAAUGAUCAAGGUUGAUAGUAACAAAAAGCGACUAAGCAACAUCAAUGGGAUCGGUGAUUGAAACUCAUUUUAUUUAAGCUGAAAAAUAUAUUUGUAAACAAAUGAUUAAAAGCUUUGUAUUGUGUUAAUAUGUGUUAAUGGGUAUAAAGCUCGGUCUAAUGUUAUAGCUAAAAUAUAAUAUGGAUUUCUUGCAGCA